UACGUAGGGCGCAAGCGUUGUCCGGAAUUAUUGGGCGUAAGGAGCUCGUAGGCGGCUUGUCACGUCGGGUGUGAAAGCCCGGGGCUUAACCCCGGGUCUGCAUUCGAUACGGGCAGGCUAGGGUGUGGUAGGGGAGAUCGGAAUUCCUGGUGUAGCGGUGAAAUGCGCAGAUAUCAGGAGGAACACCGGUGGCGAAGGCGGAUCUCUGGGCCAUUACUGACGCUGAGGAGCGAAAGCGUGGGGAGCGAGCAGG
rnacentral:rRNA from 1 species